AAAAAAAAAAAAAAAAAGAAUGACUGGAUUGUAGAGGGUAACUUUUUUUGUCUUUUUGUGUUUGUCUUUUCUGGCUAAGUUUGUGCACCAGAGAUUUUUGGAUUUAAGAAUGCAUUUGAUUUAUGUGGUUGAUCUAUGGAGGGUGAAGUUGUCUGCGAGAUCUUCUUGCAAUUAGUGAUAGUAUCCUCCUAUAGUUUGUGAAAGUCUCAUUCUGGAUUUUUGGAAGAACACUCGAGCUGAACAUAUCCAAUCUUGUUAUGUGAAAAAAGACAAUAAUAAUUUAUUCCCAGCCUUCAAGUUCCCAUCCCAUGGUGUUUCAUGAAGCAUUUUAUUAUGUUUUCUUUAUGUUUUCCUGUAGCUUAUCCACUUGAUGUCCCUUUUCCUUAUGUUCUUAACCAAUCAUUCAUCAGUCUAGAUUCUUUUCGUCCUAGUUUUUUUUGUUUCAUUUUUUAUUUUUUAUAUUUCCCUUCACCACCCUUCGAUUCAGGUAUAAAAUAACAUUUCUCAGCAAUUCUCUUAUUUUCCUAAAAGUGAAAUGAGCUCUGGUGCUGCAGGAGGCUAUGUAUGAGCCCCAGAUUGAUAAAGAUUAAUUGAAAAAGAAGAUAGAGGUUGGGAGAAGAACUGAAAUCUACUACAAGAUUCCUCUCUUUAACUGUAGACUGCAGCAGUAUUCCUGAAUUAAGAGUUGUACGAGAACAACGACUUUGCUUAAACUUUCCUGUCAAAAAGAACAAU
rnacentral:lncRNA from 1 species